rnacentral:tRNA from 1 species
GGGCAGCUAACUCAGUUGGUUAGAGUGCCACGUUCACAUCGUGGAUGUCACAGGUUCAAAUCCUGUGCUGCCCACCA